AUUGAACGCUGGCGGCAUGCUUUACACAUGCAAGUCGAACGGUAACAGCACUUCGGUGGCUGACGAGUGGCGAACGGGUGAGUAAUGUAUCGGAACGUGCCCAGUAGUGGGGGAUAACUACUCGAAAGAGUGGCUAAUACCGCAUGAGAUCUCUGGAUGAAAGCGGGGGACCGUAAGGCCUCGCGCUACUGGAGCGGCCGAUAUCAGAUUAGGUUGUUGGUGGGGUAAAGGCCUACCAAGCCUGCGAUCUGUAGCUGGUCUGAGAGGACGACCAGCCACACUGGGACUGAGACACGGCCCAGACUCCUACGGGAGGCAGCAGUGGGGAAUUUUGGACAAUGGACGCAAGUCUGAUCCAGCAAUGCCGCGUGCAGGACGAAGGCCUUCGGGUUGUAAACUGCUUUUGUACGGAACGAAAAGCCUUCUUCUAAUACAGGAGGGUCAUGACGGUACCGUAAGAAUAAGCACCGGCUAACUACGUG
rnacentral:rRNA from 1 species